GAGUUUGAUCAUGGCUCAGAUUGAACGCUGGCGGCAUGCCUUACACAUGCAAGUCGAACGGCAGCACGGGUGCUUGCACCUGGUGGCGAGUGGCGAACGGGUGAGUAAUACAUCGGAACAUGUCCUGUAGUGGGGGAUAGCCCGGCGAAAGCCGGAUUAAUACCGCAUACGAUCUACGGAUGAAAGCGGGGGACCUUCGGGCCUCGCGCUAUAGGGUUGGCCGAUGGCUGAUUAGCUAGUUGGUGGGGUAAAGGCCUACCAAGGCGACGAUCAGUAGCUGGUCUGAGAGGACGACCAGCCACACUGGGACUGAGACACGGCCCAGACUCCUACGGGAGGCAGCAGUGGGGAAUUUUGGACAAUGGGCGAAAGCCUGAUCCAGCAAUGCCGCGUGUGUGAAGAAGGCCUUCGGGUUGUAAAGCACUUUUGUCCGGAAAGAAAUCCUUGGCUCUAAUACAGUCGGGGGAUGACGGUACCGGAAGAAUAAGCACCGGCUAACUACGUGCCAGCAGCCGCGGUAAUACGUAGGGUGCGAGCGUUAAUCGGAAUUACUGGGCGUAAAGCGUGCGCAGGCGGUUUGCUAAGACCGAUGUGAAAUCCCCGGGCUCAACCUGGGAACUGCAUUGGUGACUGGCAGGCUAGAGUAUGGCAGAGGGGGGUAGAAUUCCACGUGUAGCAGUGGAGUGCGUAGAGAUGUGGAGGAAUACCGAUGGCGAAGGCAGCCCCCUGGGCCAAUACUGACGCUCAUGCACGAAAGCGUGGGGAGCAAACAGGAUUAGAUACCCUGGUAGUCCACGCCCUAAACGAUGUCAACUAGUUGUUGGGGAUUCAUUUCCUUAGUAACGUAGCUAACGCGUGAAGUUGACCGCCUGGGGAGUACGGUCGCAAGAUUAAAACUCAAAGGAAUUGACGGGGACCCGCACAAGCGGUGGAUGAUGUGGAUUAAUUCGAUGCAACGCGAAAAACCUUACCUACCCUUGACAUGGUCGGAAUCCCGCUGAGAGGUGGGAGUGCUCGAAAGAGAACCGGCGCACAGGUGCUGCAUGGCUGUCGUCAGCUCGUGUCGUGAGGUGUUGGGUUAAGUCCCGCAACGAGCGCAACCCUUGUCCUUAGUUGCUACGCAAGAGCACUCUAAGGAGACUGCCGGUGACAAACCGGAGGAAGGUGGGGAUGACGUCAAGUCCUCAUGGCCCUUAUGGGUAGGGCUUCACACGUCAUACAAUGGUCGGAACAGAGGGUUGCCAACCCGCGAGGGGGAGCUAAUCCCAGAAAACCGAUCGUAGUCCGGAUUGCACUCUGCAACUCGAGUGCAUGAAGCUGGAAUCGCUAGUAAUCGCGGAUCAGCAUGCCGCGGUGAAUACGU
rnacentral:rRNA from 1 species